GGGGGCGUAGCUCAGAUGGUAGAGCUAUUUCGCUUAGCAUGCGAGAGAGGUACGGGGAUCGAUACCCCUGCGCCUCCA